CUCAAAUAGUACGAUCCUCGUAGAAGGAACAAUCUCCCUCACUACAACAGCUGGACAAGCUCCAAGAUAGGCUAUCAUGGAAGUAAACUACUUCAUAGUAAAGAGCCUAUCGAUGUACAAUGUCAUCUGAGAUCGGCCUGGAUUGAACACUCUUCGAGCUAUAAUGUCAACCUACCAUUGGACAGUGAAAUUUUCUACUCCUUAUG
rnacentral:lncRNA from 1 species